rnacentral:rRNA from 1 species
CCUACGGGUGGCUGCAGUGAGGAAUCUUCCACAAUGGACGAAAGUCUGAUGGAGCGACACCGCGUGAAGGAUGACGGUCUAACGAUUGUAAACCUCUUUUCUGAAGGAGCAUAAUGAGAGUACUUCAGGAAUAAGGGACGGCUAAUUACGUGCCAGCAGCCGCGGUAAUACGUAAGUCCCAAGCGUUACUCGAAAUUACUGGGUGUAAAGCGUUUGUAGGCGGAUAAGUAAGUCAGAUGUGAAAGACCGAGGCUCAACCUCGUGUUUGUAUUUGAAACUUCUUUGCUAGAAUCAGGGAGAGGUAAGCGGAAUUCUAAGUGUAGGGGUGAAAUGCGUAGAUACUUAGAAGAACACCAAAAGCGAAGGCAGCUUACUGGAACUCGAUUGACGCUGAGAAACGAAAGCGUGGGGAGCGAAGAGGAUUAGAUACCCUUGUAGUC